rnacentral:rRNA from 1 species
CUUGCUCCCUUAGGUCAGCGGCGGACGGGUGAGUAACACGUGGGUAACCUGCCUGUAAGACUGGGAUAACUCCGGGAAACCGGGGCUAAUACCGGAUGCUUGAUUGAACCGCAUGGUUCAAUCAUAAAAGGUGGCUUUCAGCUACCACUUACAGAUGGACCCGCGGCGCAUUAGCUAGUUGGUGAGGUAACGGCUCACCAAGGCGACGAUGCGUAGCCGACCUGAGAGGGUGAUCGGCCACACUGGGACUGAGACACGGCCCAGACUCCUACGGGAGGCAGCAGUAGGGAAUCUUCCGCAAUGGACGAAAGUCUGACGGAGCAACGCCGCGUGAGUGAUGAAGGUUUUCGGAUCGUAAAACUCUGUUGUUAGGGAAGAACAAGUACCGUUCGAAUAGGGCGGCACCUUGACGGUACCUAACCAGAAAGCCACGGCUAACUACGUGCCAGCAGCCGCGGUAAUACGUAGGUGGCAAGCGUUGUCCGGAAUUAUUGGGCGUAAAGCGCGCGCAGGCGGUUUCUUAAGUCUGAUGUGAAAGCCCCCGGCUCAACCGGGGAGGGUCAUUGGAAACUGGGGACUUGAGUGCAGAAGAGGAGAGUGGAAUUCCACGUGUAGCGGUGAAAUGCGUAGAGAUGUGGAGGAACACCAGUGGCGAA